UGGGAGUGGAUGUUGUGAGUUUGGAGAAGUCCCUGGACUUCAAUAGUUCUAUGGUGCAAUGGUAAAAAUAUGACCCAUGGAGCUUUGGUUCCAGAAUGGUUUCUCAUAAAAGCAGCGAGGAGUCCGGUGGCACCUUAAAGACUAACAGAUUUAUUUGGGCAUAAGCUUUCUUGGAUAAAAAAACCCACUUCUUCAGAUGCAUGUGAACAGCUGAGCUGCUGUUCCUUCUACUUCCCUAUUAUCACAUAAUUUUCCAAAUUACUCAAACAUCAGGCCAAUAGCCCAGCUAACUCAGUGCGUAGGUCUGUACCAGGAUCAGGUCAAUGGCCUGGCUAGCUCGGUGCGUAGGUCUGUACCGGAUCAGGCCACUGGUUCGGCUAGCCCAGUGCGUUGGUCUGUCCUGGAUCAGAGCAAUGGCCCGUCUGGCUCGGUGCGUAGGUCUGUCCGGGAUCAGAGCGAUGGCCCAGCCGGCUCAGUGCGUAGGUCUGUACCGGGAUCGGAGCGAUGACCCGGCUGGCUCAGUGUGUAGGUCUGUCCAGGAUCGGAGCGAUGACUCGGUGCAUAGGUCUGCACCGGGAUUGGAGCGAUGGCCCGGCUGGUUCGGUGCAUAGGUCUGUACCGGGAUCGGAGCAAUGGCCCGGCUGGUUCGGUGUGUAGGUCUGUCCGGGAUCAGAGCGAUGGCCCGGCUGGCUCGGUGCGUAGGUCUUCUGGGCUCAUCUCACUGGGGAAUGUCUGCCCCCUCCAAUCUCGCCCCCUCCAAUCUCGCCUUGUCCUCAAAAGUGAGGCCAACUCUUCUCAGCAUGUGCUGUGUCCCAUCACCCCUUUCACCGCCCUGGGUAUUUACAGCUCCUCCCUCCCCCAGGCCAAAUCCCCCCGCAGCUCCCCCAAAGUCUGGUAUCUGAGCUGGCCCCGUGGCAGCCGCUCCCGUGGGACGGGACGAUGCUGAGCGAGACCCGGCUGUUCUGCAGCCUGCGCCAGUGAAAGGGGCAGAGGCGAGUUCAGCAGGGCCCCGGGCCCCUUCCCGCCGCUCCGGGCUGCCAGCCCCUUCCUGUGUCCCGCCCUGCGCAGCCGGGCUGCGACACGGGCUGGCUCAGGACCCGCAGUCCCCGGGUCUGAGCUGCAGGGACCGGGCCAGGAGCGACUCCC